rnacentral:rRNA from 1 species
AGCGAACGCUGGCGGCAGGCCUAACACAUGCAAGUCGAACGAAGUCUUCGGACUUAGUGGCGGACGGGUGAGUAACACGUGGGAACGUGCCUUUAGGUUCGGGAUAACUCAGGGAAACUUGUGCUAAUACCGAAUGUGCCCUUCGGGGGAAAGAUUUAUCGCCUUUCGAGCGGCCCGCGUCGGAUUAGCUAGUUGGUGAGGUAAAGGCUCACCAAGGCGACGAUCAGUAGCUGGUCUGAGAGGAUGAUCAGCCACAUUGGGACUGAGACACGGCCCAAACUCCUACGGGAGGCAGCAGUGGGGAAUCUUGCGCAAUGGGCGAAAGCCUGACGCAGCCAUGCCGCGUGAAUGAUGAAGGACUUAGGAUUGUAAAAUUCUUUCACCGGGGACGAUAAUGACGGUACCCGGAGAGGAAGCCCCGGCUGACUUCGUGCCAGCCGCCGCCGUAAGAC